GCUGGGCGUGGUGGCGUGUGCCUGUAAUCCCAGCUACUCAGGAAGCCGAGGCAGGAGAAUCGCUUGAACUCAGGAGUUGGAGGUUGCAGUAAGCCAAGAUCGCACCACUGCACUCCAGCCUGGGUGACAGAGCGAGACUCUGUCUCAA
ensembl:misc_RNA Metazoa_SRP Metazoan signal recognition particle RNA